GGCAUUUUUUUUUUCCUUUUAAGUGGAAAAUGCCUGGAUGACCGAGGGGAGGGGGGCUGCCGAGCUAAAGAAGGGGUAGACGGGCCCCCAGGUAUCGAGUUAUUCAGGACGUUGUUUCGGGGUAACGAAUUUUAAAAUUACAAAAUGCCUUGCCGAUAUAGACCCAGAGCGAGCUAUUUAUAGGAGAAGGGGUAAUGGACUGCAGGAUUAACAGCUGGAUUGCUGAGAUUGGGUACAUUUGUGUUGACUUAGACAGGAGAAAAAUAUGACGAGGAUUUCGUAGAUUACUUGGAUGAUUUGGAGUUAGAAAUGCAGCUUUGUGCCUUACCUCAAGAGAUGGGUUCAAAUAGGUUUUCAAUUUUCUUUCUCUUUCGAAGUUGCAUUUGUAUAGUAUUUGGAAAGUGCUUCCUGUUACAUUUGAGUGGGGUUAAGGAAUUAAACUGACAGGUUUUUACCAUAUCUCAUUUAAAAAAGGAUGAUUCCUACAGACGUAGUGCUAUCCCUUACCAAGCACUGUUGUUUUUCUGAGAGGGAAGUAUUGAAUUCUUGUAUUUUGCCCACAAUUAUAUUCUGAAAAUGGGGAAAUGAAGUGUUUUGGAUGUGCAAGACCUCUUUUUAUAUUUACUUACUCUUGAGGUAGCCAGGGGGGCAUUUUCCCAUUAUCAGAAUGGUAUGCACUUUUUUAAUAUUUAAGAUACGAGCUUGGUAUUAGAGCAAGGUUUAAAAGGUGGCUGGGUUUGUGAAGGGGGAGAACUAGCAUCCAGGAGAUGUUACUGACCUUGAGUUUUGAAAGGAUGGAUACUGAAAAUGUCAUUGGAGAAAUUUAACAGAAUUUAGGAGAUCGUUUUGGUCCUGAGGAGGUAUUGAAGGUAAACGUGUAUCCAAAACCAAAAUCUGUUUUUUACACAUCGACUAACCAGUUGUUCCAAAGCAGAAACGUUAGGAAUAUUAUUUUAGAGAGUAGAUGGGGAAGGCAAGUUACUGUUAUUAUUUAAAACAAUCAGAAUAAUUUUAUUAAUAGUUUUAUUUUAAUUGAUUUUUUUUGGAAGGAAAUUUUGCCAAAUCUGAGUAACUGUCAAGUUGGGUUGGGAGAGGAGAUAGGAAAAGGACUCAGCCUGUGCUUAAUGUAUUGUUUGAAUCAUUUUUCAAAGAGGAAUGUGGAACCCCAGCCUGCAUGGAAGGCAUUCAAAUCGUGUCUUUUUCAGCAGGGUUGUUGACUUAAAUCUUUGUAUGUCAUUUGCUGUCUAUCAGCAUUGUGAUAUUUGUGAUAUUCAUCUCAGUUUCUUUACGUAGAAAUCGCUGCUACUAAGAACAGGGAAGCCAAAGGUCAUUUGCCCUCACAGUAUGUAGUUGCCUAGUUUGAGGAUUGCCUGCAUGAUUUCCAGGUGUUCCUGUGUCCUGUUGAGGUUUUUUCUGUUGAAGGACAACUGGUGCACGUUCAGCAGUUCCCUUAGAACGGUUGCCAAUUGAAGGAACCUUCCUCAUCCUGAGAGUCAGUGAAACCCUACCUAACUAAUGAGAGUAGAUUGGAAAGUCGCCUUCCAUGCCCUGUAAUAGAACCUGAGCUGUAAAUGUAGUUUGUCGUUAUGCAGUUGUGCUAGGUGUAUGCAAAUCUGCUGUCUGUUAGGCUGUUAAGAAAAGAGUUAAUUAGAAAACAAUAAUGGUGAAAAUAACUUUGGGAAAUAUUUCCUUCUUUUUUUUAAUCUUCUCAUUUUGGUCAUGUUUGCAUUUCAGUUUUUGGCUUUCCCCCACCAGUGACCAAAGACUUGACCACUCAAAAGUCCAUCUUCCCUGAACACUGCUCGACAUGGACACCGGUGUGAUUGAAGGUGGAUUAAAUGUCACUCUCACCAUCCGGCUACUUAUGCAUGGAAAGGAAGUUGGCAGUAUUAUUGGAAAGAAAGGAGAAUCAGUUAAGAAGAUGCGUGAAGAGAGUGGUGCACGUAUCAACAUCUCAGAAGGGAAUUGUCCUGAGAGAAUUAUUACUUUGGCUGGACCCACUAAUGCCAUCUUUAAAGCCUUCGCUAUGAUCAUUGACAAACUGGAAGAGGACAUCAGCAGCUCUAUGACCAAUAGCACAGCUGCCAGUAGACCCCCAGUCACCCUGAGGCUGGUGGUCCCUGCUAGUCAGUGUGGCUCUCUCAUUGGGAAAGGUGGUUGCAAGAUCAAGGAAAUACGAGAGAGUACAGGGGCUCAGGUCCAGGUGGCAGGGGAUAUGCUCCCGAAUUCAACUGAGCGGGCCAUCACUAUUGCUGGCAUUCCGCAAUCCAUCAUUGAGUGUGUCAAACAGAUCUGCGUGGUCAUGUUGGAGACUCUCUCCCAGUCCCCCCCGAAGGGCGUGACCAUCCCGUACCGGCCCAAGCCGUCCAGUUCUCCAGUCAUCUUUGCAGGUGGUCAGGACAGGUACAGCACAGGCAGCGACAGUGCGAGCUUUCCCCACACCACCCCGUCCAUGUGCCUCAACCCUGACCUGGAGGGACCACCUCUAGAGGCCUAUACCAUUCAAGGACAGUAUGCCAUUCCACAGCCAGAUUUGACCAAGCUGCACCAGUUGGCAAUGCAACAGUCUCAUUUUCCUAUGACGCAUGGCAACACCGGAUUCAGUGGCAUUGAAUCCAGCUCUCCAGAGGUGAAAGGCUAUUGGGCAGGUUUGGAUGCAUCUGCUCAGACUACUUCUCAUGAACUCACCAUUCCAAAUGAUUUGAUUGGCUGCAUAAUCGGGCGUCAGGGCGCCAAAAUCAAUGAGAUCCGUCAGAUGUCUGGGGCGCAGAUCAAAAUUGCGAACCCAGUGGAAGGAUCUACUGAUAGGCAGGUUACCAUCACUGGAUCUGCUGCCAGCAUUAGCCUGGCUCAGUAUCUAAUUAACGUCAGAUCAGUCUCAUUUUGAAGUUGUCAAGAAUCUACCUCCAUGAAGGACUAAAUACUCCCCUUCAUGCUGAGAUAGAGAAACCAUUUCUGGCUUAAAAGCUUUCUUCGGAGACGGGUGGCAUGGGGAGCAGCUAGAACAAUGCAGAUUCAUCCAUAAUCCCUUUCUGCUGUUCACCACCACCCAUGAUCCAUCUGUGUAGUUUCUGAACAGUCAGCGAUUCCAGGUUUUAAAUAGUUUGUAAAUUUUCGGUUUCUACACUUUAUCAUCCACUCGUGAUUUUUUAAUUAAAGCGUUUUAAUUCCUUUCUCUGUUCAGCUGUUAAUGCUGAGAUCCAUAUUUAGUUUUAUAAGCUUCUCCCUGUUUUGUUUUUGUUUUUUGGCUCAUGAAUUUUUUUUUCUGUUUGUCAUGGAUAUGUAAGAGUGGAAUAUUAAUACAUUUCAGUUUAGUUCUGUAAUGUCAGGAAUUUUUCAAAAAAAUUAAAAGAUGGACUGGAGCUUUUCCUUUGUGAAUAGAAACUGGAUGCCACAGUGA